UACGGAGGGUGCAAGCGUUAAUCGGAAUUACUGGGCGUAAAGCGCGCGUAGGCGGUUUGAUAAGUCGAUUGUGAAAUCCCCGGGCUCAACCUGGGAAUUGCAGUCGAGACUGUCAGACUAGAGUGUGGGAGAGGGUGGUGGAAUUCCCGGUGUAGCGGUGAAAUGCGUAGAUAUCGGGAGGAACAUCAGUGGCGAAGGCGACCGCCUGGCCCAACACUGACGCUGAGGUGCGAAAGCGUGGGUAGCAAACAGG
rnacentral:rRNA from 1 species